ACUGUUGCCACAAAGUUGGAAGCAUAGCAUUGUCCAACAUGUGUUGGUAUGCUCAAGCUUUAAGAUUUCCCUUCACUGGAAAUAGGGGGCUGAGCCCAACUACUAACAUCUCCAAUCACACCUGAAUUCAGUAAUGAAGAGGUGUUCCCAAUGCUUCUGUCUGUGAACACGCAUGUCUUGCCGUGGUUGUUCGCAUGCCACAGUGGUAGCGCUUUGCUUUACCUGCAGAGGUGAUAUUAAUAAUGUCCAAGAAGGUACACAAAUGCUCCAGGUGAGGCUCGAACUCACAACCUCGGCAUUGCUCCACGGUGUACUGCCGUAUAAGUACCGCGCGCUAACCGAUUGCGCCACUGGAGCUCGUUUAAAGCGUACCUACGUCACUCUUAUGAGUACCUGUCGUGGGUGAGUUGACGAUUUUGUUAUGUUUUCUGUGUAUGAGGGGGGAAAAAACAAGCGGGAGGACAAGUGAAGAAACACACACGCACGGCGGCCAUCUGAAAGUUGUAGUACAGGAUGCACAGUACUUCACAUGGCGUCGCUCUUCAGAAGUUUUUCCACCGGAUGGACGAGAGGAUGGUGUGGAUGAAGUAGAGGAGUGUGGCCAGAAGGUGAUGUAAGCCAAAUCCACCCCUGCACUGAGGUAGAAGAAGGCAGCCAGGCCGUGUCUUACAGCAGCAGCCCAGCCAGAGCUGUUCUUAUGGCCUCCCGCAGCAAAGAUGAUCAUCCAGAGAAAGGUCAUGACGAAGCAGAAGAUCGAGACAAACAUCACCCAGCCCAGAGGGUUCGGCGGGUUCACGUGAGUC